AACCUGCUGUCAUGGCGCCGGCUCUGACUUCCGGUCCAGGGAGUACGUGCGACCCCUGGAAAGAUGCAGGACAGGGCAGUUAGUUCCGGGUUCUGCCAAAUUCUGGGUCUCUGAGUGGGAACUGGUUCCCAUGUUGUGGAUGGAGAUUGUCAUGAGAAGAGUCCACGGGGAAGUCUGAAGCCUGGGUGACUCCUGUUGGAGGCAGACAGAGAUGAGGGCAGGGAAGCCAACCUCUGCAGCCCGGAUGACGGAAAGAAAGUGCGGAGCAUGUAUUUGGACCACCCAGAUGCCCUGUGAGAUACAAAGAUUGCCUGGGGCCUGCUUGGGAACAAGGGCAGACCCCAAACACGGAGGAAAAUUGAAGAUCGGGAUAACUUCCCUUCGUGAGGGAACCGAGGAGGCCGAGUGUCUUUUCAAUGAGUCGACUGUAGGCAGAGGGAUUUAUUUAUAAUAUUAUUAUUUGGUAGAAAAGAACUUACUAUGGCCAGAUGUAAAAAGUCUUUUUAUUUUUUCUUGAUAAGUUAAAGAGAUUAAGAAAAAUCAGGCCGAUUUUGACAGAGAAUAGUGUGUAAACGAGAGGUGUUAUCAGGGAGAUCUGGCACCAGCUCCAUUUUGUUAUGGUGGAAAAUAUCAGUAUUAUUUACUAAGAAGAUUAGGGUGGAUUGGAAGAGAGGCCGGUUGUUGUGUGCAGAUGGAGAUAAGAUACGGAUUUUACCUUCUCUGCUGAGCCCAACGCAGUGCACACAGCGCUGUUAUCUCAGGCUUGGCAAGCAGGGGAUAUUAAGAUGUACGCUGUAAUUACCAGUGGCAGGAACAAAUUUCAUAGCGACUAUUUUAAACCCUAAUAAAAUGCCGGCCUUUAAUUAUACAGCUUUGAAAUAUUUUUCUCAGUUAAUUGCAACGGAGGAAAAUAAAAUCAACCUCAUAUUUGAAACUGACUCUCCCAGGGAAAAAGCCCUCCGCCCAGGCGCUCCAGCUGCCUCUGAGUGCUACACGGCCAAACCUGGGGCUGCCUAGGUUCUGUGUUUUCUAGGCUCUAUGGACACCCCUCCCUCAACCCCCAUCAUAGCCUUGUAUGGAGAGGAAAGAAGUGUGAUACCUCUCUGUGUAAAAUCAGAUUCUCUCCAAGAAGCUGCAUGUUCCGGUGAGCAAAGGCUGUAUGGGGGAGUUAGGGGGAGGGGCUUCUGUUCUGCAGAGGCACCCCAAAAACUCCAGGCCAUAGAACAUGCAUCGCACCUCACCACUUCAUCUGCCUCCAGGCACAUGGAGACUGUCUGCAUAUAUAUAUGUAUGUGUGAGUGUGUGUGUAUGUGUGUAUAAUCCUACCCCUUGAGCUCACAGACUCUCAGGAUAUUUCCCAACCAAAAAUUCACAGAUCAAUUUUUUUAUUUUUAAAUGCUGGAGUAUCUGCACACAUAUAGUGAGAUGUCUUGUUGAGGGAUCACAAGUCAUUUUGAAAUUCGUGUGUCUCCUAUACUCCAUGUCCAUAUAGCCUAGAAGUCGUGUACGAUAUUUAGCGCACUGCAUCUCCACUGCAGCUUGGGACAGGAGGCCAACUGUGGGAUUUCUCACUUUGGGGUUCAUGUUCAAAAGGUUUUAGAACUGGGCCUCUUUGGACACUGAAUUUCCAAGUGAGGGACGUUCAACCUGUUCUUAUGAGAACAGGUAGUAGGUGUUCUAAUAAUAGGUCUUCUGUGCCAGGCAUGGCUUGUAAAAGUUAUGGUCUGGUUCUUCCUCCUGGCCCAAUACUCCCAGAAUAAGACUCGGACUCAAAAUAUAUUUGCAAAUACCUUGGCCAAGUAGCUAGACUCUUCUCUGACUAGAUCAUAACUUAGAAUAACCAAUUUAUUUUAACCUACAUUCUGCCACAUGGCUGGUUACCUGUGCUUGGGUACCAUGGGUCUGUCUCCUCAUAUCCUCUGACCAGAUCUUCCCAUGCCUGGCUCUAUCACAGAAUCCUCUCUCUCCCGGAUGUCCCACCUCCCAUUUCCUGCCUAAGCCAUAGGCCAUAGGCGUUUUAAAUGACAGGUGAUGCAUCCAUACAAUACACAAGAUAUCCUCUCAAUACUAUCUACCUUAGUGCUUUAGGCCAUGUAAACUCCCGAGUUGCUAACUGAGUCAAACACCUGGUUUAGACAGCAUGAAUAACUUGUCACACUCGGGGCUGCCGUUCCUCUCCUCAUCACUGUACUGGCUGGUUUGUGUUGACACAGGCAGGGAUCACUAGAGAGGAAGGAACCUUGGUUGAGGAAACACCUCCAUAAGCUCCAGCUGUAAGGCAUUUCCUCAAUUAGUGAUUGAUGGCGAAUGGCCCAGCCCAUUGUGGACCGUGCUGUCCUUGGGCUGGUGGUCCUGGGUUCUAUAAGAAAGCAGGCUAAGCAAGGCAUGUGAGCAAGCAAGUAAGCGGUAUCCCUCCAUGGCCUCUGUUCCUGCCUCCAGGUUCCUGACCUGUUUGAGUUCCUGUCCUGACUUCUUUUAAUGAUGAACAGCAACGUGGGGUGUGUAUGCUAAAUACAUCCAAUCCUUCCCAACAUGCUUUUCGGUCAGUGUUUUGUUGCGGUAAUAGAAACCCUAAACUGAGACGAACGCCAAGGGUCACCUAAGCUCUCCUGUGUCUUGCCUUUCCCACAGCUCUUGACCAAGUCCCUAUCAACUUCUGCUCAGAGAGAUGAGCUCGCAGCCGGUCUUGCAGUACCUCUUGUGCUCCUUCCUUGGUCAGAAGAUGGAACUUGCUAGUCCUGGAUGCCGAACAUAGGCUCGCCAGCCUCUGAAGGGAACUGCACUGUCAUCCCUAAGCCAGGAGCCCCCAGAAGCAUCUGGUACUGACAUUCACACCUGAGUGCCUCCCGCAGCUGAAUUCCCCCAGCCCUGGCACACUCCGCUGUGCCCCAUGCACCCAUGGAGGACCUUUUACCAGCUCGCGCUUGUGGCGACUCUGCUGGAUAAUAUGGAGUGGGAGCUCCCGAUGAUGGAGCGCUGUCCCCGGAAACACAGCACUCGGCUGAGGCUUCGCUGCUAUUCUGAGUGAUAAUUGGCUUAACAUCCUUCAGUGUCUAUAUGCUCUGUUCUGCCCGGAGGAAGAGAAGCUGCUUCUGACGGUGAACCAUCCAAUAGCAACUCAUUGCAUAGCUAUGGCCAAGAUCUGCCAGACUUGCCUGGGAUCGGAAGGGGGCUCCUUCGGUACCCUGUUCCUGGACUUGAGAGAACCAUUGGAUAAAAUGCAGGGGCUCUGGGUCAUAAGGUACCAGGCGUUGGUGAAUACCUCUUCUCACCGGCCUCCAGAUUCUAAAGCCUACCUUCACGGCCACCAAAAGGACCACUUCUCACCCUACACUCUGGCCGCUGAGCUCUGGCCAUGUAUCAAGCGUAGGCCAAGCAGAGACGCUACUCCCCUGACAUCCAAGCAACAUGGAUUAGUUUUAGAUUCCGGGCUUCGGGGCUCCAUCUAUUCCUCAUAAGAUUUUCUGGGGUAACCACUAUUACUGUUCCUCUAUUCUCUGAUGAGCUAACUGGCUCAGAAAAAUUACUUAACUAGAGUUUGACAACAAUCUUAAAGUCCUCUAUAUAUCUAUCUGUGUAUCUAUAUAUCUAUGUCUGUACCUAUGUUUCUCUGUAUCUAUGUAUAUACCUACGUUACAUAUGUAUCUAUGUAUCUACAUAUGAAUGCAUGCAUGUAUGCAUGUAUGUAUGUAUGUAUCUAUCUAUCUGUCUGUCUGUCUGUCUGUCUAUCUGUCUAUGUAUCUCUGUGUCUUUCUGCCUGUCUGUCUUUCUGACUCAGUCCCCCCCCCCUUAUACCUACCAAUGAGUGUUCUACCAUAGAGUUUAAAGCUUCACACAGCACUAGAUGUGCGUUUAUCAUUAAAGUUGCCCCCUAAAGGGGCGUAUGGCUGUGUACUUUCCUGCAUAUUAGUACGCUGGCUGGUAUUCGCUACAACUCCACGUGGCUGUUCCCAGCUCCCCAGGUCAGCAAUGGCCAGAGGUUUGUGCAUCUCUGGUUUGGGGUAGUAUUGAUUCUUACAGUCUCCAUGCCUGGUCUCCGUCCUUCGUCCAAGCAGGCAGGAGCCAGGGGGCGCGUGGUGCUCUUGGUCACAGAGUUGUGACCUCAGCUGCUGCUGCAGCUCUGUGGUUGCAGUCUUUGUGGGUGCUGGCUGGUGUUGGGACUCUCGCUGUUGUAGAAAUGAUUAAUACUCUGACACUAUCUCGAGGGCUUUGGGAGGCACAUCCGGGCAGACUGGGUCGAUGUGAGAUGAUACUUCUCCAAUCUGGUCCAGGGAGGCAAUCACUCAGAGAAGGGAAUAUCUGUUCCACUAGAGAUUUGUGGUCCUUAGGAAGAAAAAAGUUGACAGAAGCCACAGAGAGAAGUUUGCUCCCUAGAGAAUUUAAUACAAUAGUAGAAUUGGAAAACCUUCUAAAUGUAUGCUAUUGAACAAAUGGUUUUUACUACCUCUCGAACGAAAAGGCAGAAGGGCAGGAAGUUCAGCGGAGGUCACGUAGAACCCAGCCGGGAGAAGGUUUGAAACUCUAGCUGCUGUUCAGCCCUCCCCAGUAGAACCAGCACGUUUAUUGAUUUCCUUGAGCAAGCACACUGCUUGGAAGGACAGAUCUGGAACUUGGGGUCAGAGAGCCACACUGAUUUUUUUUUUUUAGAUAGCUUCAGAUCUUUCUUCCUUUCCCAUUUAGAAUGUUCUUUAAUUGUCUUGUCAUUGGCUAGAACUCACUUUGUCCAGGAAGGUUCUCCAGGAGAAAAGCUCUGCUGUUGCCCUGGGAUCCCUCCAAGCCAUCUGGCCAUUCCUUUCUUGCUCAUGACAAGCGUAGGCCAUUGGCAGAGGACAUUUCUGAAGCUUCUAAUUUUGCAGCCAACAUGGAAUUCAACAAGCCCCAAGUUGCCCCCUUCAGUGAGAGGCUAUGAGUUCUUAUAAAUGGUAGUUAGUAGACCGAGAGAUUUGGGGACAGAAAAUCUUCAACCAGAAUUCAGUUCGAGUGCACCCGACCAAUGAACAGAAGCUGCUGACCCCUGUGGUUGAAUUAGGGAAAAGCUGGAGGAGGCUGAGGAGGAGGGCGACCCUGAAGGAGGACCGGCAGUCUCAAUUAACCUGGACCCCUGAGAUCUCUCAGACAUUGGAUCACCAAAAAGGCAGCAUACACUAGCUGAGGUGAGGUCCCCCCAACACAUGUACAGCAGAGGACUGCGGGGUCUGAGCUCAGUCAGAGAAGAUGCACCUAACCCUCAAGAGACUGGAGGCCCCAGGGGGUGGGGAGGUCAGGUGGGGAGGAGACAUCCUUGUGGAGAUGGGGGACGGUGGGGAGGAGGUAUGGGAUGUGGAACAGUUGGAGGGUGGACUGAGAGGGGAAUAAAAUAUGGAAUGUAAAAAUUUAAAAAAAAA